rnacentral:rRNA from 1 species
AGCCUGAUGCAGCCAUGCCGCGUGAGUGAUGAAGGCCCUAGGGUUGUAAACCUCUUUCAACAGUGAAGAUAAUGACGGUAACUGUAGAAGAAGGUCCGGCCAACUUCGUGCCAGCAGCCGCGGUAAUACGUAGGGGGCUAGCGUUGUUCGGAAUUACUGGGCGUAAAGCGCACGUAGGCGGAUUGUUAAGUUAGGGGUGAAAUCCCGAGGCUCAACCUCGGAACUGCCUUUAAUACUGGCAAUCUAGAGUUGGAGAGAGGUGAGUGGAAUUCCGAGUGUAAAGGUGAAAUUCGUAAAUAUUCGGAAGAACACCAGUGGCGAAAGGGGCUCACUGGCUCGAUACUGACGCUUAGGUGCGAAAGCGUGGGGAGCAAACAGGAUUAGAUACCCUGGUAGUCCACACCGUAAACGAUGAAAGCUAGCCGUCAGGUGGUUUCCAACUUGGUGGCGCAGUUAACGCAUUAAGCUUCCCGCCUGGGGAGUACGGUCGCAAGAUUAAAACUCCAGAAUUUCCGGGGGGGGGGG